GUGCCCUCCGAAUUGUCAGCCCCCUAACGCAUGUCCUGGGCCGAUAGGACCACCUGGAAUUCAAGGACCAAGGGGUCCCUAUGGUGAGAAGGGAGAGGAAGGGCCUCCAGGUCAAGAUGGUAGAACUGGGCUCCCUGGUGAAAUAGGAGAGCCAGGAGAGCCGGGCAAACUUGGACAGAAGGGUGACAAAGGUCCACCAGGGCUACAGGGUGAACGCGGACUGAAAGGUUUAAGAG